UGAGGAAUAUUGGUCAAUGGGCGCAAGCCUGAACCAGCCAUCCCGCGUGAAGGAAGAAGGCGCUAUGCGUUGUAAACUUCUUUUCCAGGGGGUGAAUUGUCCGGUCGUGACCGGGCUUGACGGUACCCUGGGAAUAAGCAUCGGCUAACUCCGUGCCAGCAGCCGCGGUAAUACGGAGGAUGCGAGCGUUAUCCGGAUUUAUUGGGUUUAAAGGGUGCGUAGGCGGACGAAUAAGUCAGUGGUGAAAACCUGCAGCUUAACUGUAGACUUGCCAUUGAUACUGUUUGUCUUGAGUAUGGUCAAGGUAGGCGGAAUGUGUAAUGUAGCGGUGAAAUGCUUAGAUAUUACACAGAACACCGAUUGCGAAGGCAGCUUGCUGGGCCAUUACUGACGCUGAUGCACGAAAGCGUGGGGAUCGAACA
rnacentral:rRNA from 1 species